GAUGAAGAACGUAGCGAAAUGCGAUAAGUAAUGUGAAUUGCAGAAUUCCGUGAAUCAUCGAAUCUUUGAACGCACAUUGCGCCCCCUGGCAUUCCGGGGGGCAUGCCUGUCCGAGCGUCAUUUCUGCCCUCAAGCACGGCUUGUGUGUUGGGUGUGGUCCCCCCGGGGACCUGCCCGAAAGGCAGCGGCGACGUCCGUCUGGUCCUCGAGCGUAUGGGGCUCUGUCACUCGCUCGGGAAGGACCUGCGGGGGUUGGUCACCACCAUGUUUUACCACGGUUGACCUCGGAUCAGGUAGGAGUUACUCGCUGAACUUAAGCAUAUCAAUAAGCGGAGGA
rnacentral:misc_RNA from 1 species